UACGUAGGGGGCAAGCGUUGUCCGGAAUCAUUGGGCGUAAAGCGCGCGUAGGCGGCCCGGUAAGUCCGUUGUGAAAGUCAAAGGCUCAACCUUUGAACGCCGAUGGAUACUGCCGGGCUAGAGUCCGGAAGAGGCGAGUGGAAUUCCUGGUGUAGCGGUGGAAUGCGCAGAUAUCAGGAGGAACACCAAUAGCGAAGGCAGCUCGCUGGGACGGUACUGACACUGAGGCGCGAAAGCGUGGGGAGCGAGCAGG
rnacentral:rRNA from 1 species